AGUGAACGCUGGCGGUAGGCCUAACACAUGCAAGUCGAACGGCAGCACAGUAAGAGCUUGCUCUUACGGGUGGCGAGUGGCGGACGGGUGAGGAAUACAUCGGAAUCUACUUUUUCGUGGGGGAUAACGUAGGGAAACUUACGCUAAUACCGCAUACGACCUACGGGUGAAAGCAGGGGAUCUUCGGACCUUGCGCGAUUGAAUGAGCCGAUGUCGGAUUAGCUAGUUGGCGGGGUAAAGGCCCACCAAGGCGACGAUCCGUAGCUGGUCUGAGAGGAUGAUCAGCCACACUGGAACUGAGACACGGUCCAGACUCCUACGGGAGGCAGCAGUGGGGAAUAUUGGACAGUGGGCGCAAGCCUGAUCCAGCCAUACCGCGUGGCGAAGAAGGCCUUCGGGUUGUAAAGCCCUUUUGUUGGGAAAGAAAAGCAGCAGGUUAAUACCCCGCUGUUCUGACGGUACCCAAAGAAUAAGCACCGGCUAACUUCGUG
rnacentral:rRNA from 1 species